rnacentral:rRNA from 1 species
GACGAACGCUGGCGGCGUGCCUAAUACAUGCAAGUAGAACGCUGAAGCGAGGAGCUUGCUCUUCUUGGAUGAGUUGCGAACGGGUGAGUAACGCGUAGGCAACCUGCCUUGUAGCGGGGGAUAACUAUUGGAAACGAUAGCUAAUACCGCAUAACAAUGGAUGACACAUGUCAUUUAUUUGAAAGGGGCAAUUGCUCCACUACAAGAUGGACCUGCGUUGUAUUAGCUAGUAGGUGAGGUAAUGGCUCACCUAGGCGACGAUACAUAGCCGACCUGAGAGGGUGAUCGGCCACACUGGGACUGAGACACGGCCCAGACUCCUACGGGAGGCAGCAGUAGGGAAUCUUCGGCAAUGGGGGCAACCCUGACCGAGCAACGCCGCGUGAGUGAAGAAGGUUUUCGGAUCGUAAAGCUCUGUUGUAAGUCAAGAACGGGUGUGAGAGUGGAAAGUUCACACUGUGACGGUAGCUGACCAGAAAGGGACGGCUAACUACGUG